rnacentral:rRNA from 1 species
AGCUUGACUGCGAGACCUACAAGUCGAGCAGGGACGAAAGUCGGGCUUAGUGAUCCGGUGGUUCCGCAUGGAAGGGCCAUCGCUCAACGGAUAAAAGCUACCCCGGGGAUAACAGGCUUAUCUCCCCAAGAGUCCACAUCGACGGGGAGGUUUGGCACCUCGAUGUCGGCUCAUCGCAUCCUGGGGCUGUAGUCGGUCCCAAGGGUUGGGCUGUUCGCCCAUUAAAGCGGUA